UCUAAGCUAAACAAAAGACAACCAAGGUAAUUGUGGUUCGGUAAUAAAGCCAAUGCCUACUAACUCAGCUCAAUGGGUUCAAUUAGAGUUGAUAACCGGGCGCCAGGUCCUAUCCCCAAUGGUAUAUGCCUCCAGCGGACCAAUAGAGGUGAUAUAGCCACGAAUUACCUGUACUAAUACUCAACAGUAAUAAUGAAGUACCCAAGUUCAAUGUUAAAUAAACGAAAAUUAUAUUUAUUGUAACAACAAAAUAAAACAAACUCUAUGUAAGAUGGAUUAUUGUUAAAUAAACUGAAUAUUGGUUUUAAGAUGGACGGAGGUAAUAAGGUAGAAACGGAGGAUGUAAUUUGUAAAUAAUGCAAGGCCUUCUACAGUUGCAAUAAAAUCAGCAAGAAAUAAUAUACAUAAAUAUUGACAACUUACCCUGUUGGCCGGACGAUAGCUAGAAGAUAGCUAGUGGUGAAUGAAAUAUUAGGGGUUGUACAACCAAAGCGCUUUGUUUGCUACCGCCGUAUGUGUUUAUUCGAUGAAUACAGCAGCCCUCCGUACUGUCAACUGGCAAGUAGCGUUUAGUCUUACCGCCCAAAAAUUACGGUAAGUAAAAUGGAUAAAUAUGAAGCUACCUAACUGUAGAAACGACCUAAUUGCUAAAAUUAAGAUGGUUAUAAUGACCGAUGGACGAAUAAUUAACGGAUUGGAUGGAUCACAGGUAUUGGUAUGCAGAUAUGAGCCCAGGGUCAGCAACAACAACAACCACAAGGGCUGAUUUACGCGACGCUGCUAUCCAGUGUGGUGAUAAGGAGUUGAACAAUAACUUGAUUAGUGACUUCCUUAGGUACCGCAAAUCACGUUGCUCUCGGAAAGUACAGGUGUAAAA